UACGUAGGGUGCAAGCGUUGUCCGGAAUUAUUGGGCGUAAAGAGCUCGUAGGCGGUCUGUCGCGUCUGCUGUGAAAACCUGGGGCUUAACCCCGGGCCUGCAGUGGGUACGGGCAGACUAGAGUGUGGUAGGGGAGACUGGAAUUCCUGGUGUAGCGGUGAAAUGCGCAGAUAUCUGGAGGAACACCGGUGGCGAAGGCGGCAUCCUGGACCGAUACUGACGCUGAGGAGCGAAAGCCAGGGGAGCAAACGGG
rnacentral:rRNA from 1 species